rnacentral:rRNA from 1 species
AAUGGUUUAUUGAAGGGGUUGUAGCUGGCAUUAAUGCACGUGCACGCCCCUUUGUUAUUGAACAUAACUCACCCGUGCACCUUUGUAGACUUGGGCUGAGAGGGUUUCAUUGACUUGUCAAUGAUCCUUUGCUGGGGUCUGAUCGACCUCGAAAGGCUCGUGUCUAUGUUUAUAUAUGCCCUUAUUGUAUGUCAACAGAAUGUCACUUGUAUGCUUGCCUUAACAAAGCGAGCUUCGAGUCUAAUACAACUUUCAACGACGGAUCUCUUGGCUCUUGCAUCGAUGAAGAACGCAGCGAAAUGCGAUAAGUAAUGUGAAUUGCAGAUCACAGUGAAUCAUUGAAUUUUUGAACGCACCUUGCGCCCUUUGGUAUUCCGAAGGGCAUGCCUGUUUGAGUGUCAUUAAAUCAUCAAUCGAUGGAUUGAUCUAUGUGGAUUGGCUUCCAYGUGGUGUUAUCCUUCGACUUGGAUGUGGAGGUUGCUGGCUUAUAACAAAAGUCGGCUCUUCUUAAAUGCAUCAGCGAUCCUUAGAGUAAGGGGGCUUUGGUUUGAUAACUCGUUGUCUAAUCAACUCCGACUCUUGUAUUGCUUUACAUUGUGACAAC